GACGAACGCUGGCGGCGUGCUUAACACAUGCAAGUCGAACGAAGAGCGACGGAGGCUUGCUUCUAUCAAUCUUAGUGGCGAACGGGUGAGUAACGCGUAAUCAACCUGCCCUUCAGAGGGGGACAACAGUUGGAAACGACUGCUAAUACCGCAUACGAUCUAACCUCGGCAUCGAGGAUAGAUGAAAGGUGGCCUCUACAUGUAAGCUAUCACUGAAGGAGGGGAUUGCGUCUGAUUAGCUAGUUGGAGGGGUAACGGCCCACCAAGGCGAUGAUCAGUAGCCGGUCUGAGAGGAUGAACGGCCACAUUGGGACUGAGACACGGCCCAGACUCCUACGGGAGGCAGCAGUGGGGAAUCUUCCGCAAUGGACGAAAGUCUGACGGAGCAACGCCGCGUGAGUGAUGACGGCCUUCGGGUUGUAAAGCUCUGUUAAUCGGGACGAAAGGCCUUCUUGCGAAUAGGGAGAAGGAUUGACGGUACCGGAAUAGAAAGCCACGGCUAACUACGUG
rnacentral:rRNA from 1 species